ensembl:lncRNA
UUUCAUAUGAUCUUCAGGGUUGUUUGCUAUAUCUUUAUGAUGAUUCUUUUAAGAAGCUUUUCCUUCAUCUUUGGCAGUUUCAUCAGGUUCCCUAGGAAGUUAGUCUGGAGAUGGAACACAAGCUUUUCAAAUGUGAUAGUGAUCUUAAACCCUCAAGUUCUGAUAUCUGCCAAUUUUUGCUGAGAUGGUUGUAAGUUAUCCUCUCCAAAGCAGAGAUUGGACCCAGAGUAUUUGAAGGAAACUCUAUUUACUGACUGUUCAGCAGCCUUGGCAUACUCAAGUACCUCUGCUUGUGCUUCCAAAGCUCCUGUCCAAAGGAAGACCUCUAGCUGUCUUGAAAUCAUUAGAUAUUCACAUAGUGCAUAGGAGACCUGAAGUCUCAAUUCUGCCUGGUUUAAAAAUAAAAGCAGAGGCCUGGACUUUAUUCCAGAUGCCAGUGCUUGCUGCUACUUCUUUGAGCCACAUCUCACCACAGUUAUUUCAGCAAACUUGUGUUGUCUGCACGUUGCCUUACAGGAUAACCAGUAUUUUCAGAUUUCUCGCUUCCUGCAAGUACUUACAGCUCCAUCUACCAUUGCAGAGACAGGGUGUUUCUUUGGCUUUGGUACAUGUUGGUACUUCCCCUAUUUUUUCAUCCCACUGUGCUACCUCCUGGUAGCAGAACAUACUUAGCAUGUUUUACUGAAGAGGAGAGCUAGUCACUUCAUUGCUAGUUGACAGUAGCUAAGCAGUGAGUACCCUCAGGCAGAAAACACUAUAUGCAGUUGUAGUGAUAGAAGCAGCUAGGUAAUUCUUAGCUUCUUGGAGUAGAAGGCUAGUUACAGAAUUGGGAAAAUAGGGAUGUUAAUCCAAAGCUAGCUUCAGUUUAGCGCUUCCAGGAAGCUCAGAAUAUGUCGUAUCAGCGUACAUGCACAUACUGGUUGGAUCCUGCUUAGACUGAGGGAGGAGGGGAGAAGAGUUUGCCAACUACUGUCCCUUGCAGUCAGCACAGAGAGCAAGAUUGGUUUCUCUAUGGCUUUUUCAGUCUAAGAGCAAAAGCUGUGUUGAUUGUGUCACUCUUAUUUGUAAUAAGGUUCCUCAUGGUUAGACAGUAUUGCACACAUCUUCAUUUUCCUGAAGCCCUUUUUUUCUGCCAUCAUGAAAGCAGUUUUUUUUUAAAAAGCAGUUUAAGACAGAUUCUUUUAAAGCCUGUUAAGAGGCUUAUGAGCUAGAUUUUUGAUCUCUCUGAUGUUAUUUUAGGUAUCUCCCUGGAUUUGAGUGAGAUAUGUCUUGCAAAACCAAUAAGCAUACACAAGGGAAACUUUUUAUUUCUACGGAUAAUUUUGUUCUCUGUGUUUGCUGUAACAGGCAAUGUGAAAAUCAACUACCUCUAACAGAAGUGGUGUUGCUCUGCCAUCUUAUGGCAGAGCUGAAAACAGAACGUUCUGCUGGUUUUGGCUAUGUUGCAGACUUCUUUGGCUUUUUUUUCCUAUGACCUUUGCGACCUUUUACAGAAACAAACAAAUGAAAACCUCACCACCAAUAAAAAACAAAAAGGAAAAAAAAAAUGCUCUACACUGACUUCAGCCUGGAAACCACCGUUGACAUUUUCACAUUUACUUUUCUACAGAUCUGGCACAAAAUGAGGAGUUUUCUGGGUGUGCUCUUUUCAUGACUCUCUCUUCUCUUCCAAAUGGACCUCUCAAUCUAAGUCAGAGCUGGAGGCUGUCAGCCUGUUCUGUAGUUCUUCCUACACUGAUUGUAUUUUAUACUGAGUCUAAAAAA